CAGCCGCCGCGGUAAUACAGAGGGUGCAAGCGUUAAUCGGAAUUACUGGGCGUAAAGCGCGCGUAGGUGGUUUGUUAAGUUGGAUGUGAAAGCCCCGGGCUCAACCUGGGAACUGCAUCCAAAACUGGCAAGCUAGAGUACGGUAGAGGGUGGUGGAAUUUCCUGUGUAGCGGUGAAAUGCGUAGAUAUAGGAAGGAACACCAGUGGCGAAGGCGACCACCUGGACUGAUACUGACACUGAGGUGCGAAAGCGUGGGGAGCAAACAGGAUUAGAUACCCGCGUAGUCACUGUCUCUUAUAC
rnacentral:rRNA from 1 species